rnacentral:lncRNA from 1 species
GAGAAGUUUACUUGUGAAAAGGAGAGUGUUAGCUUUGCUUUGGUGUUUAAGGCAAGAGAAGCAAUUUCGUCACGUCUUGGUAGAAUAGAGAUCCGACGUAUCAAAUCUUAUCGAUAGGUAACGAAUUUUGGUAGGUUUGUUCCUAAGGCGUGUACGUUGAUUCUCCUUUAUACAGCAGUGAAUUCGGAUUAAUACUCAGUGAGUUACAUGCAGUUUGGUGAGACGCCUUUUCUCUGUUGCGAAUUGGGAUCAGCGGAGUUUGUAAGUGCGAUCGUGGUUUCAUCGUUUCUCCGAUCGGCAUCAAAGUUUGUGGGGAGAUUCGUGACGUCUGGG